CCUACGGGUGGCAGCAGUGAGGAAUAUUGGUCAAUGGGCGCAAGCCUGAACCAGCCAAGUCGCGUGAGGGAUGACGGUCCUAUGGAUUGUAAACCUCUUUUGUCGGGGAGCAAGGCCCGCCACGUGUGGCGGGAAGGAGAGUACCCGCAGAAAAAGCAUCGGCUAACUCCGUGCCAGCAGCCGCGGUAAGACGGAGGAUGCGAGCGUUAUCCGGAUUGAUUGGGUUUAAAGGGUGCGUAGGCGGAUGGUUAGGUCAGCGGUCAAAUGUCGGUGAUGAACACCGGCCUGCCGUUGAAACUGGUCUUCUUGAGGGCGCGAGAGGUAUGCGGAAUGCGUGGUGUAGCGGUGAAAUGCAGAGAUAGCACGCAGAACUCCGAUUGCGAAGGCAGCAUACCGGCGCUCAACUGACGCUGAGGCACGAAAGCGUGGGGAUCGAACAGGAUUAGAUACCCGAGUAGUC
rnacentral:rRNA from 1 species